rnacentral:lncRNA from 1 species
CACACAUAAAAUUAUCAAUAUUGAGCUUAACUCGUCCCUUUAAAUGAGCAAAUAAUCAUGCCUCAUACAUCUUGUCGUCCCUUAUAACUCUAGGCUCUUGCUUGUUGAAGAUUAGAAAAUGCAUAUUCACCGUCACGUAGAAACUCAUUUUUUCUUCUCUAAAACAACUAGAUAAUACUAGUGAAUAUUUAUCUUCGACUCAUAAUGUCAUGAGCACAAGUUUUUUACAAAAGUU